rnacentral:lncRNA from 1 species
AUGACCCCAUGCCGCCAAGCCUGGGGACAGAUUCUCCAGGGGCAAACAGGCAGCUGGGUUAAACUCCCCCAACCUCACCGUGCCCACCCUUCUCCUUGGGGGCGCAGUCCUGCAGCCUUCCCUUUCUUUCCAGCAUGGAAAGCCAAGUGCAAAGACGAGGUCCAUUAUCAGCAGUGGAGCUCAAUGACGUGGCUUGGGGUUCAAACCGGGAGCGUCAGGUACUGGUUUCUCUGGCGCCCAGAGGAAAAGCCAGCAUUCCUUGAAAUGGCAGAAGCCACCGAAAGUCAUCCUGCCUGUGUGAGAAUGAUGUACCGGAACUGCCUUUGCAAAUCCAGAAAGACACGUCAGCAAGACCUGAUCCAGCCCCUCAAGACAGUCCCAUGGGCCAUCUGGGAAAGAAGGUGUCUCCAGCAACUUCUGUGA